AACGCACAUUGCGCCCGCCGGUAUUCUGGCGGGCAUGCCUGUUCGAGCGUCAUUUCAACCCUCAGGCCCCCCUUCACUGCGGGGGACUGGCGUUGGGGACCGGCCCCGAGCCCCUCGCGGGCGGGCCGCCCCCGAAAUCCAGUGGCGGUCACGCCGCGGCUUCCUCUGCGCAGUAGCAAUCGCCUCGCAGCUUGGGACGCGGCGCGGCCACGCCUCGACAAACAUUUUUUUCUGGUUGACCUCGGAUCAGGUAGGAGUACCCGCUGAACUUAA
rnacentral:misc_RNA from 1 species